ACUCAAAUGAAUUGACGGGGACUUGCACAAGCGGUGGAUCAUGCGGCUCAAUUCGAUGACAAACGAAGAACCUCACCAGGGUUAGAAACCAAGACGAUUGGUCUAGGAAACUAGAUCGUCCGCAAGGCGGCUUGGCAGGUGAUGCAUGGUCGUCGUCAGUUCGUGGCUUGAGUUGUUCCCUUCAGUGGGGUAACGAACGCAACCCUCGUUGCCUGUUUUAUAUGUCAGGCGAGACUGCCCCCUCACGGGGGAGGAAGGUGAGGAUGACGCCAGAUCAGCAUGUCCCUCUGAUAUCCUGGGCUGCACGCAUGAUACAAUGGGCGCGACAACGAGACGCGAAAGGGUAACCUGGAGCAAAUCUUUAUAAACGCGCCCCCAGUUCGGAUUGAGGUCUGCAACUCGACCUCAUGAAGCCGGAAUCGCUAGUAAUCGCGGGUCAGCUAUACCGCGGUGAAUACGUUCUCAAGUCUUGUACACACCGCCCGU
rnacentral:rRNA from 1 species